CGCGGGAUUAGAGUUUGAUCCUGGCUCAGAGCGAACGCUGGCGGCGUGCUUAACACAUGCAAGUCGAACGCGCAGCAGUUUGUAGCAAUACAGAUUGUGGGCGCGUGGCGAACGGGUGCGUAACACGUGGAUAACCUUCCUUCAGGUGGGGAAUAACCCAGUGAAAAUUGGGCUAAUACCGCAUAACAUGACGAUGCCACAUGGUGUUGUCUUCAAAGGCGCAAGUCGCCAGAAGAGGGAUCCGCGGCCGAUUAGCUAGUUGGCGAGGUAAUGGCUCACCAAGGCAAUGAUCGGUAGCCGGACUGAGAGGUUGGCCGGCCACACUGGAACUGAGACACGGUCCAGACUCCUACGGGAGGCAGCGGUGGGGAAUCUUGCACAAUGGACGAAAGUCUGAUGCAGCAACGCCGCGUGGGGGAUGAAGCUUUUCGGAGUGUAAACCCCUUUCGACCCGGAAGAAAGCCCGCAAGGGUUUGACGGUACGGGUAUAAGAAGCCCCGGCUAACUACGUGCCAGCAGCCGCGGUAAAACGUAGGGGGCCAGCGUUGCUCGGAAUUACUGGGCGUAAAGGGUCCGUAGGCGGUGUGGCAAGUUGGUAGUUGAAAUCUCUGGGCUUAACCCAGAGGCUGCUGCCAAAACUGCUAUGCUAGAGUGUGAGAGAGGCGAGUGGAAUUACGGGUGUAGCGGUGAAAUGCGUAGAUAUCCGUAGGAACAUCCGAGGCGAAGGCGGCUCGCUGGAUCACAACUGACGCUGAGGGACGAAAGCUAGGGGAGCAAACAGGAUUAGAUACCCUGGUA
rnacentral:rRNA from 1 species